UGAAGAAUUCCCCCUUGCAUCACUACGACGAGUUGAUGUCACUUUCUGUGGAGGAGAUGGAUAUAAAGAGACCCCGGUGGUUCAUCCUUCACAAUCCACCUGUCUCUGCUGAGUCCUGAACCUCCUAGUCCUCUCGCUUUGCCUGGAAGACCAAGACAGCACCAGUGACCUUGUGAAGCCACAAGAGAAGAGAUGAAAGCCACCAUGUUCAGCCUCAUCAAAGUCCUGCUGCUCCUGAGCCUGCUGGCAUCGCUCUCCAGCGCCCAGAGACCUCAGACGAGCCGUUGUCUCUGUUCACGCUUCCAAAGAUAUAGCGAAGAUGCACAAACAUUCGACAUCCACAAUCCAUCCGCUUUCUGUGACAAAAUGGAGAUUGUUGUGACUAGGAAGGAUGGUGGGAAGUUCUGUGUGAAUCCCAACUCCAAAAGCGGUCGCCACCUUCAAAAGAAGAAGGCUACAACUCAAGCUCUACAACCCCCCCCUGAGUGAAGAAUAAGGCUACAACUCCUAGCUCUACAACCACCUCUGAGUGAGGAAUAGGCUACAACUCCUAGGUCUACAACCCCAGCAGCUAUGUCUGAGUGAAGCCUCAACAGAGGUUUAAUCCACACAACCACGCCACUGAAGAAUACAAUGUCAAAGCACAAGGGUUACUUCUUUUUUUAAUAUAUUUUAUAUAUUUAUAUAUAUUGUGGAUUGUGGAUAUUUAUAUAUAUAUAUAUAAUAUUUGUGUAGCACUUUUCGAAACAGGAUUACAAAGUGAACAGAACAGAAUAAAACAUUAUUAAUUAUGUAAUUUACACUUACAUUUACAUUUAGGGCAUUUAGCAGACGCUUUUAUCCAAAGCGACUUACAAUAAGUACAUUUGUCAUAAGAAGUGCAUCAAUAUAUCGCUGUUGGUACAGAAAGGAUGUUCAUAGAACCAAGUGCAAAUACAACAAUCGCUAGGCUAACCAAUUCCCUGUGUUACAGCCAUGAUAGCAGCUACUGCAGUGAUAGCAGCUGUAUUAUACAUAUGUAUUAUAUACUUAUGUAUUAUACUUAAGCUAUUUUGUUCUAUGAUGUCUUAGGCCAAGUCUACUCCAUGUCUUUUUUUAUAUUGUGCAUUGUGUGUAUAUAACGCGUUGUACUAUAGUCCUACUUUGAUCUCUAAUGUAUAAUAAAAUGAUUAAUACAUAA